rnacentral:tRNA from 1 species
GGUAUGUAGCCGCCCUGUUAAACGGACUCUUAAUCCGUAGGUCGAGUGUUCGAGUCACUCACGCCCCACCA